UACGAAGGGGGCUAGCGUUGUUCGGAUUUACUGGGCGUAAAGCGCGCGUAGGCGGGCAUUUAAGUCAGGGGUGAAAUCCCAGGGCUCAACCCUGGAACGGCCUUUGAUACUGGAUGCCUGGAGAUCGGGAGAGGUUGGUGGAAUUCCGAGUGUAGAGGUGAAAUUCGUAGAUAUUCGGAAGAACACCAGUGGCGAAGGCGACUUACUGGACACAUAUUGACGCUGAGGUGCGAAAGCGUGGGGAGCAAACAGG
rnacentral:rRNA from 1 species